rnacentral:misc_RNA from 1 species
AACGACGUUAUGCAUGAACGUAAUGCUCAUAACUUCCCUCUAGACUUAGCCGCCGUCGAGGCUCCAUCUAUAAAUGGAUAAUAUUUUAGUCUUAAAGUAUACGAGUUUUUGAAACGAAAAGAGCAAUAUCAACAGAGUUGAUAUUGCUCUUUUCGUUUUCUUUUGUAGUUAGGAGUCUUUUUUUUUACAGAUUUAUACAGAAAUUGUUGAUUUAUUUUAACAUUCUUUAACGUUCUUUAUUUCAGCAUAAGAUAUUUUACAAAUUGGAAUUUCAUAUUUAUCUUUCUUAUUUUGCAAUUUCGAAUUGAUGUCUUUUUCUCCUCAAUUUGAUCUUUUUUUAAUUUUAAUACAUAUGACUUCCGAAUGUAAAAAAAAUGUUUUCYCCUUUUCUUAUUUUAYCUUAGAAUAAAGUAAAAAUUUAAAAGAUAAAAAUAAKGAAAGAAAAGAGUUGAAAUU